GGAUCAUUAUCGUGGGGCUCCGGCCCCGUCGAGAUAGAACCCUUGCCUUUUCGAGUACCGUCCGUUUCCUCGGCAGGCCCGCCUGCCAAUGGGGACCCCAAACAAACCCUUUUUGUACCUGUACCAGUCUGAACAACAAACAAAAAUUAAAACUUUCAACAACGGAUCUCUUGGUUCUGGCAUCGAUGAAGAACGCAGCGAAAUGCGAUAAGUAGUGUGAAUUGCAGAAUUCAGUGAAUCAUCGAAUCUUUGAACGCACAUUGCGCCCUUUGGUAUUCCUUAGGGCAUGCCUGUUCGAGCGUCAUUUACAACUUCAAGCUCCGCUUGGUGUUGGGUGUCUGUCCCGCCCCCCGGGGUGCGGACUCGCCUCAAAUUCAUUGGCGGCCGGUACAUUGGCUUCGAGCGCAGCAGAAACGCGAACUCGAGGACGGUGGAUCCGCUCCCAGAAGCCAACCCCAUAUUUUGACCUCGGAUCAGGUAGGGAUACCCGCUGAACUUAAGCAUAUCAAUAAGCGGAGGAAAAGAAACCAACAGGGAUUGCCCUAGUAACGGCGAGUGAAGCGGCAACAGCUCAAAUUUGAAAUCUGGCCCUUUCAGGGUCCGAGUUGUAAUUUGUAGAGGGUGCUUUGGCGUUGGCUGUGGUCUAAGUUCCUUGGAACAGGACGUCGCAGAGGGUGAGAAUCCCGUAUGUGGCCGCCAGCCUCCGCCGUGUAAAGCCCCUUCGACGAGUCGAGUUGUUUGGGAAUGCAGCUCUAAAUGGGAGGUAAAUUUCUUUUAAAGCUAAAUACUGGCCAGAGACCGAUAGCGCACAAGUAGAGUGAUCGAAAGAUGAAAAGCACUUUGGAAAGAGAGUCAAAAAGCACGUGAAAUUGUUGAAAGGGAAGCGCUUGCAGCCAGACUUGCCUGCGGAGGCUCAUCCGGGCUCACGCCCGGUGCACUCCUCCGUGGGCAGGCCAGCAUCAGUCCCGGCGGUCGGAUAAAUGCCCGCGACAUGUACCUCUCCUCGGGGAGGACUUAUAGGGUGGGUGGCAUGCGACCAGCUGGGAUUGAGGUCCGCGC
rnacentral:rRNA from 1 species